rnacentral:rRNA from 1 species
UACGGAGGGUGCUAGCGUUGUUCGGAAUUACUGGGCGUAAAGGGCGCGUAGGCGGCCGUUUGCGUCGGAUGUGAAAGCCCGGGGCUCAACCUCGGAACGGCAUUCGAUACGGGACGGCUGGAGACCGGGAGAGGAGAGUGGAAUAGCCAGUGUAGAGGUGAAAUUCGUAGAUAUUGGCUGGAACACCGGUGGCGAAAGCGGCUCUCUGGGCCGUAACUGACGCUGAGGAGCGAAAGCAUGGGGAGCGAACAGG